rnacentral:rRNA from 1 species
GACGAACGCUGGCGGCGUGCUUAACACAUGCAAGUCGAGCGGUAAGGCUCCUUCGGGGGUACACGAGCGGCGAACGGGUGAGUAACACGUGAGUAAUCUGCCCUUCACUUCGGGAUAGCUUCGGGAAACCGAAAUUAAUACCGGAUACGACCAGCCUCUGCAUGGGGUGUUGGUAGAAAGUUUUUUCGGUGGGGGAUGUGCUCGCGGCCUAUCAGCUUGUUGGUGGGGUAAUGGCCUACCAAGGCUUCGACGGGUAGCCGGCCUGAGAGGGUGACCGGCCACACUGGGACUGAGACACGGCCCAGACUCCUACGGGAGGCAGCAGUGGGGAAUAUUGGACAAUGGGGGAAACCCUGAUCCAGCAACGCCGCGUGAGGGAUGACGGCCUUCGGGUUGUAAACCUCUUUCAGCUCCGACGAAGUCACUCGUUGAGGGUGGUGACGGUAGGUGCAGAAGAAGGACCGGCCAACUACGUGCCAGCAGCCGCCGUAAUAC